UUGAAACUGAGCUCAGCAAGAUCUGUGAUGGUAUCCUUAAGCUUCUGGAUUCCCACCUUGUCCCAUCUGCCACUGCUGCAGAGUCCAAGGUGUUCUACCUGAAAAUGAAGGGUGACUACCACAGGUAUUGAUUUCUGGUGUUUCAGGAAUUAGCAGUAGCUAACAGUUUACCUUUUUUGUGUUUCCUAAGGUUUAUUUUCUGGUUUUGAAUGUAUAGGUACCUUGCUGAGUUUAAGUCAGGAGCUGAGAGGAAGGAAGCAGCUGAGAACACUCUUGUGGCAUACAAGUCUGCCCAGGUUGGCCUCCGUGUACUUUUGCCAAUAUAUAUGGUGUAUAGCGGUGAUAUUUAGUUUGCUAUAUCAUUAUAUUUUUCUUGGAGUAGCUUUAUAAGUUCUGAUAUUUUUAUGUCAUUCCUACCAGUGAUUUUUUAUCCUCCAUGCUGUAUCUUCUUCACCGUAGGAAAAUACUUCCAGUCUUGAUUUAUUUUAUAAGUUCAAUUUUCAUUUAUGGGAUGCAUAUUUGCUCAUGUUUGAGACAUACGCUGCUAUUUAUGGCAUGUAUCAUGUGGCAACGUUGAGUUAUUUAUUGCAGCUUCAUGGAUUUUGAUGCAUAUUUAUCAGCAGAAACUGCACACGAUGACACUUGAUUGCUUUUUUA
rnacentral:lncRNA from 1 species